CAGGAUAGCCGUAGAGUUGGAUCCUGGCUCAGGCUUGCUCUGGGGGAUCAGUGGCGAACGGCUGAGUAACACGUGAGCAACCUGCCCCUGACUCUGGGAUAAGCGCUGGAAACGGCGUCUAAUACUGGAUAUGUGACGUGACCGCAUGGUCUGCGUCUGGAAAGAAUUUCGGUUGGGGAUGGGCUCGCGGCCUAUCAGCUUGUUGGUGAGGUAAUGGCUCACCAAGGCGUCGACGGGUAGCCGGCCUGAGAGGGUGACCGGCCACACUGGGACUGAGACACGGCCCAGACUCCUACGGGAGGCAGCAGUGGGGAAUAUUGCACAAUGGGCGCAAGCCUGAUGCAGCAACGCCGCGUGAGGGACGACGGCCUUCGGGUUGUAAACCUCUUUUAGCAGGGAAGAAGCGAAAGUGACGGUACCUGCAGAAAAAGCGCCGGCUAACUACGUGCCAGCAGCCGCGGUAAUACGUAGGGCGCAAGCGUUAUCCGGAAUUAUUGGGCGUAAAGAGCUCGUAGGCGGUUUGUCGCGUCUGCUGUGAAAUCCGGAGGCUCAACCUCCGGCCUGCAGUGGGUACGGGCAGACUAGAGUGCGGUAGGGGAGAUUGGAAUUCCUGGUGUAGCGGUGGAAUGCGCAGAUAUCAGGAGGAACACCGAUGGCGAAGGCAGAUCUCUGGGCCGUAACUGACGCUGAGGAGCGAAAGGGUGGGGAGCAAACAGGCUUAGAUACCCUGGUAGUCCACCCCGUAAACGUUGGGAACUAGUUGUGGGGUCCAUUCCACGGGAUUCCGUGACGCAGCUAACGCAUUAAGUUCCCCGCCUGGGGGAGUACGGCCGCAAGGCUAAAACUCAAAAGGAUUGACGGGGACCCGCACAAGCGGCG
rnacentral:rRNA from 1 species